UGCAGAUUCAGUAUGACACCAACAUGACAGAGAAUUAUGUCCAUAGAAGAAGAAGAAGAAGAAGAAGCAGCUCGGGCUCUGGUGACGCUGAACACUCUGAUCUGCCUCGGAACCUCCUGACGACCUCUCAUCUCUCUGCUCUCAGAGAUCUACUUUCAGACAAGAAAAUCUCAGUUCGUUUAGGUCUCCGUGUAUCUCUCAGUGGUCCAGGUGAGCUUCUCGACCCUCAGUUCCUCCUCUCGCUCAGCAAACAGCCAGGACUCUACAACACUGGAGGGAAGCCAGGAGUCUUCACUAUGAGAAUUGUGGGAAUAAAGAAAGCAGCUGCUGCACCCAGAGAUGUCAUCAUCCACAGUCAACCCCACAAUCUCUAUGAUUAGGUUAAGUUAGGUUAGGUUAGGUUUCUUUAUUAGUACCCGAGGGUAAAUUUGUUGUUCAGACAGUGUACAGCAAUCCAUAGAAACAGACCGGAGACAGAUUAUUGGAGACAUUAAUAAAAAAUGUAAAUUACAAAA